rnacentral:rRNA from 1 species
GAGUUUGAUCUUGGCUCAGGACGAACGCUGACGGCGUGCCUAACACAUGCAAGUCAAGGGUAGUUUACUACACUGGCGCACGGGUGAGUAACGCGAUCUGCCCUAUACACAGAAAUAAUUCCGGGAAACUGGUUGUAAUGUCUGAUGAGGAGCUUCGGCUUCAAAGAAUUUAUUCGGUAUAGGAUGAGUCUGCGUAUGAUUAGCUAGUUGGUAGGGUAAUGGCCUACCAAGGCAACGAUCAUUAGCGGGUUUGAGAGGACGAUCCGCCACACUGGUACUGAGACACGGACCAGACUCCUACGGGAGGCAGCAGUGAGGAAUAUUGGUCAAUGGGGGCAACCCUGAACCAGCGACGCCGUGUGUGCGAUGAAGGAGCUUCGCUUCGUAAAGCACUGUCAGAUAGGAAGAAAAGUCUCUUAUAGGGACUGGGACUGUACUAUCAGAGGAAGGACCGGCUAACUACGUGCCAGCAGCCGCGGUAAUACGUAGGGUCCAAGCGUUAUCCGGAAUUACUGGGUAUAAAGGGUGCGCAGGCGGUUUUUCACGUCUGGGGUUAAAUAUCACGGCUCAACCGUGAAGAUGCCUCGGAAACGGGAGAACUUGAAUAUGAGAGAGGUAAGUGGAAUUCCUGGUGUAGCGGUGAAAUGCGUAGAUAUCAGGAGGAACACCAGUGGCGAAGGCGGCUUACUGGCUCAUUAUUGACGCUCAGGCACGAAAGUGUGGGUAGCAAGAUUAGAUACCCUGGUAGUCCACACCCUAAACGAUGUAUGCUUGGUGUUAUGGCCGUUAAGGUUGUAGUGCCGGAGAAAAUUCGUUAAGCAUACCACCUGGGGAGUACGAUCGCAAGGUUGAAACUCAAAGGAAUUGACGGGGGCCCGCACAAGCGGUGGAUCAUGUGGUUUAAUUCGAUGCAACGCGAAGAACCUUACCUGGGCUUGAAGUGCAGAUGACCGCUGUCGAAAGAUAGUUUUCCUUCGGGACAUCUGUAUAGGUGCUGCAUGGCUGUCGUCAGCUCGUGCCGUGAGGUGUUGGGUUAAGUCCCGCAACGAGCGCAACCCCUAUCUUUAGUUGCCAGCACGUAAUGGUGGGAACUCUAAAGAGACUGCCCGCGUAAGCGGAGAGGAAGGUGGGGACGACGUCAAGUCAUCAUGGCCCUUAUGUCCAGGGCUACACACGUGAUACAAUGGCAUACACAAAGGGCGAAGCCGCAAGGUGGAGGAAAUCCAUAAAGUAUGUCUCAGUUCGGAUUGAAGUCUGCAACUCGACUUCAUGAAGUUGGAAUCGCUAGUAAUCGUAGAUCAGCUCGCUACGGUGAAUACGUUCCCGGGCCUUGUACACACCGCCCGUCAAGCCAUGGAAGUCGGAGGCGCCCGAAGCGGACUCGCGUUCGUUAAGGCAAACUUGGUAACUGGGGCUAAGUCGUAACAAGGUAGCCGUA